rnacentral:rRNA from 1 species
AAAUUGAAGAGUUUGAUCAUGGCUCAGAUUGAACGCUGGCGGCAGGCCUAACACAUGCAAGUCGAACGGUAACAGGAAGCAGCUUGCUGUUUCGCUGACGAGUGGCGGACGGGUGAGUAAUGUCUGGGAAACUGCCUGAUGGAGGGGGAUAACUACUGGAAACGGUAGCUAAUACCGCAUAACGUCGCAAGACCAAAGAGGGGGACCUUCGGGCCUCUUGCCAUCGGAUGU